UACGGAGGGUGCAAGCGUUAUCCGGAUUCACUGGGUUUAAAGGGUGCGUAGGAGGGCAGGUAAGUCAGUGGUGAAAUCUCCGGGCUUAACUCGGAAACUGCCAUUGAUACUAUCUUUCUUGAAUACCGUGGAGGUCAGCGGAAUAUGUCAUGUAGCGGUGAAAUGCUUAGAUAUGACAUAGAACACCAAUUGCGAAGGCAGCUGGCUACACGAAUAUUGACACUGAUGCACGAAAGCGUGGGGAUCAAACAGG
rnacentral:rRNA from 1 species